rnacentral:misc_RNA from 1 species
UUAAGUUCAGCGGGUAUCCCUACCUGAUCCGAGGUCAACCUGAGAAAAAUUUCCCUGCAAAGGGAGAAGACCGUGACUCGCCGACCCUUAUUCCAAUACGUGCUCAGUUAAGAAGCUCAGUGUACCGGGGGUCAGACAAAGCCGCCGUCGUUGUCUUUAGGAGGGGUCGGGCAUCGCCCGACCAGUCAUCCAAGGCCAAA